GACAGAGGGUGCAAACGUUGCUCGGAAUCACUGGGCGUAAAAGGCGUGUAGGCGGGACGGUAAGUCGGGCGUGAAAUCCACUGGCUUAACUGGUGGCUUGCUUUCGAUACGGGCAGACUGGAGGUAUGCAGGGGAGAACGGAAUUCCUGGUGUAGCGGUGAAAUGCGCAGAUAUCAGGAGGAACACCGGUGGCGAAGGCAGUUCUCUGGGCCGUAACUGACGCUGGAGGAGCGAAAGCGUGGGGAGC
rnacentral:rRNA from 1 species